AUGGUCAGGAAAGAAAAGAAAGUUUCCGCAGACUAUUCCAAAACAUUGUAUUUUUUACAGAAGAGCCUCAGAAGCUGCUGCCUUCAGUGUAACCAGAGUUCAGACAGUGAUUCUCAUCAUUUUGAGCAGGUAGAAAUGAUCACCAAGCCUGAUGAAUGGAUUAUUCUCUACAUCUGUUGGUGUGUUGCUGUUCGAUCUUGGAUUCCACUGCUAAAUAAGGUACUAAAUUCCUGCUGAUGAAUCACCAGAUGAAUUUCAUCGACUUCUCAAGACAGACUUAUAAGCUCUCUUACGCCAUUGUGUAUUAUCGUGAACUAUGAAGACAGAAAAUGCCUAUUCCAGUCUCUGCCCCUUGCACACUUGGAACCAUGUAUGUGUGGUUGGUAGGGCUUCAGAGCUCCAUGAAUGGGAGAGUCCAUCUCACUUCCACAGCCUCAUCAUUAGUCCAGACACCCCUAACCCAGUGUUGAAGACUGAAAAAGGUUCCUAGGUAUGUCCAUGCUCUAACUCAGGGAAUGAACCUGUGCCUCUAACCUUAUAUAGAAAAAGGGACUUCGUAGAUGUGAUUGAAUUAAUUAGGAGAUUAUCCUGGAUUAUCAACGUGAGCCCAUCGUAAUCACUGGUCCUUCAGAGGAAUGCAAGAAACAGAGAAGGUGUGGGGGGAUGGGGAGAAUGCCACAUGGUGAUGACAGAAGCAGAGUCCGGAAUGAUGUGCUCUGAAGAUUGAGGAAGGGACAACAACCCAAGGAAUACAAGUGACCUCUAAAAGCUGAAAAAUCAAGGAAAUGGAUUCUUCCUCAGAGCCUCCAGAAGGAACCAGCCUGGCUGACACCUUGACUUUAGCCCAGUGAAAUUGAUUUAAGAUUUAUGACCUCCAGACCCAUAAGAGAAUAAAUUUAUAUUGUUUUAAGUGACUUGACUUGUG
rnacentral:lncRNA from 1 species